rnacentral:misc_RNA from 1 species
AAGUCGUAACAAGGUUUCCGUAGGUGAACCUGCGGAAGGAUCAUUAUUGAAUAAACCUGGCUUGGUUGAUGCUGGUCUUUUCGGAGACAUGUGCACACCUUGUCAUCUUUAUAUCUCCACCUGUGCACUUUUUGUAGACCUGGAUUCAACUUUCCGAGGAAACUCGGUUGUGAGGAAUUGCUUAAUAGGCUUUCCUUGUUAGUUUCCAGGGCUAUGUUUUCAUAUACACCUUAUGAAUGUAACAGAAUGUCAUUAUUAGGUUUAAUUGCCUUAUAAACUAUAUACAACUUUCAGCAACGGAUAUCUAGGUUCUC